AGCGAACGUUAGCGGCAGGCCUAACACAUGCAAGUCGCGCGAGAAUGGGGCUUCGGCUCCUAGUAAAAGCGGCGGACGGGUGAGUAACACGUGGAUAAUCUGACCCUUCGGCGGGGGACGAACAGUCCGAAAGGAUUGCUAAUACCGCGUAAGUCGGCGAGGUCUUCGGAUCUUGUCGGAAAGAUGCCUCUUCAUGAAAGCUACUCACCGAAGGAUGAGUCCG
rnacentral:rRNA from 1 species